ACGAAACGUUUGGCGGCGCGGAUUAGGCAUGCAAGUCGAACGAAUCCCUAGGGGCUUGCUCUUAGGGGGAAAGUGGCGAAAAGGGGCAGUAAUGCGUGGGGUAACCUACCCCGGGGACGGGGGAUAGCCAUUCUAAACGAGUGGGGUAAUACCUGGCGGAUUGUAGCGAGGUCGCCUGAUUUUGCUACGAAAUGAAUUUCGCCUCGGGAGGGGCUCACGUGAUAUUAGCUAGUUGGUGGGGGUAGGGGUAACGGCCUACCAAGGCAAAGAUGUCUAGGCGGGUGUGAGGAGCACGACCCGCCGCCACUGGGCACUGAGACAACUGGCCAGACUCCUACGGGAGGCUGCAGUCGAGGAUUCUUCGGCAAUGGGCGCAAGCCCUGACCGAGCGGACGCCAGCGUGUGCGAUGAAGGCCUUCGGGUUGUAAAGCACUGUCGAGGGGGGGGAGGGAAGCCGCAAGGGUUGAACCUAUCCCUGGAGGAAGCACGGGGCCUAAGUUUCGUGCCAGCAGCCGCGGUUUAAGACGAAACCGUGGCGAACGUUGUUUCGGAAUCACUGGGCUUUAAAGGGCGCGUAGGCGGUGCGAUCAAGUCCGGGGUGAAAUCUUUCGGCUUAACCGGAAAAAGUGCCUUGGAUACUGAUUGUCUUGAGGGAGGUAGGGGCAGGUGGAACUUCCGGUGGAGCGGUUUGAAAAUGCGUGUGAUAUCGGAAGGAACGCCGGUGGCGGGAAAAAGCGACCUGCUGGAUCUCUACUGACGCUGAGGCGCGAAAGCUAGGGGGAGCGAACGGGAUUAGAUACCCCGGUAGUCCUAGCCCUAAAACGAUGGGUACUAGGUUGUAGACUUAACAUGGGUUUACAGCCGAAGCAAAAGUGUUAAGUAACCCCGCCUGGGGAGUAUGGUCGCCAAGGCUGAAACUCAAAGGGAAUUGACGGGGGCCUCACACAAGCGGUGGAGCAUGUGGCUUAAUUCGAGGCUACGCGAAAAGAACCUUAUCCUGGACUUGACAUGUGCGAAAGCGGUAGGAAGUAGUCUGCGGAAAACGUAAGACCAACGGUAUCCAGUCCGGAACCUACUACAGGUGCUGCAUGGCUGUCGUCAGCCUCGUGUCGUGAGAUGUUGGGUUAAGUCCCCGGUAACGAGCGAAACCCUUGUUUUCCAGUUGCCAGCGGGUCAUGCCCGGGGACUCUGGAAAGACUGCCGGUGUGUUAAAACCGGAGGAAGGGCGGGGAUGACGUCAAGUCCUCAUGGCCUUUAUGUCCAGGGCUGCACACGUGCUACAAUGGCGUUGAACAAAGGGACCGCAAACCCCGCGAGGGGGAGCAAAAUCUCAAAAAAAACACGCCCCAGUUCAGAUUGAAGGCUGCAACUCGCCUUCAUGAAGUUGGAAUCGCUAGUAAAUCGCAGGUCAGCAACACUGCGGUGAAUGUGUUCCUGAGCCUUGUACACACCGCCCGUCAAGCCACGAAAGAGAGGGGCAUCCGAAGUCGCUGUCACAGGCGCCGAAGAUGAAACUCUUGAUUGGGACU
rnacentral:rRNA from 1 species